CUCAAAAAUAAACAAGUCACCUGGAAACUCCAUUAAAACGCAAAUGUCCCUGUGCAGCAGAAAUGAUGGAAGUGCUUUAAGUGCAGUAGACAGGCCCAAUGGUGGAGAAGAGGGAAGAGUGGCUUGAAGACAGUAUUACUGGACCCUGCAGCUGUAAGGAUUAGAUCACCAGCACUUCCAGGAGUUUCCAAAGGCUGCCGAUUGACUCCAGACAGGCCUAUUGAAGUUUAAUUAGACUUAACCAUGAAAGAGCCUCCUCCCUAAUGAGGAACAGGUUUGCCCUGAAGCUCACAUGGGAUGUAUGAAGAGCUACAGGGAAAGAGAUGAGCAGAGAAGAAUGUUGGCAUUUGUGGCCUGCAGACUGUACUGAGAGAGGAGCAAUCUUAAGGGAAUGUGAGGCAUUAAGUGCUUCAGAUGUCUGGUUACUACCACUACUGUUGGGAUAAUUCUGAGUCUUUUGGCAAGCUGCUUCGCACCAAAGUGAUUCUGGAACAUUAGAAACAUGAAAGAGGGAGGAAGUGACAGAACGAGAGAGGGGGAGAGACUGGGGGUUAGAGGUAGGAAAAGAAGUUGCAGUUAAACAAUCCUGACGUCUGGGGAUGCUGCAGCCCCCUCAGCACCCCUACUUCCCACGUCCCUGAGAAUGAUGAUAUAGGGAGGUGGAUGGCUGGAUGGAAGGAUGGACAGAUGGAUGACAGAGAAAGGGCAAGGUCUCUCAGUUCAAGGCCCACUGCAGUGCCAGGGUGAGGAUGAGGAUGGUGAAGGUGGGCAGAGUGAGUGGAGCAUUGCUGGAUCCAGGAUUGGAGUAUCUUACAGAAGGUUCAUGAGGAGGAGCCAUCACCACAUCAGUACCUUUGGUAGAGUCUGUAAGGGCGAGAGAGUAAGAGAGAGAGGGAGAGAGAAAGAGAGAGAGCAGUCAUUCUUUUUAUUCUUUCCAUUAGAAAUUUUCUUUUUGUCCAUGAUCCCAAUCUGAGUCAUUUAAAGGGCUCAUAUCAGAAAUUCCUCAUUUUUCUGAAAUGUUUGAAAGUUUCAAAACGUUCCAUUCACUUCCCAGUCCAUACAGUGCAUGUAUGGAAAUCAGUUUACAUAAAGCAUAUUCACAUAUAAGCCCCUAUUCAGACUACAGAUGUUUAGCUCCACCCAUUCACACUUAAGUUAUAAAGAGUGUUUCAGCCCAGACUGCCUUGGCAGCCAAUCAGGAAACUCAAUUUUAUAAAUCAAUAUUAAAAGCACAGUAAAAAAAAACAUGUCAAUGGGAUGAAGAGAGGUUGAAAGGCAUGUAUGAAUGAAUUAUGACUUUAUGGUACAAACUCAGCUCCAAAAAUUUGGGACAGUAGGAGAACUGUAAAUAAAAACAAAGCAAUAACAAAUUCUUUUUGACCUGCAUACAAUUGAAAACACCAAAGAUAUAUAAUCUUUCAGCUAAUUAAGUCUAUUGUUUUUUGUAUAUACGCUUAUUCUAAAUUUAAUGCGUCCAACAUGUUCCAAAAAAGUUGAACCCAUGAUACUGAAACCAUGAUACUAUCAACUGUUAAUUAUUCACCUCUUUGCCUGUGGAAAGCACAGCUGUUGAUCAUUCCACAAACUUCCCAGUAUUACACUGCCCGUGUCCCAGCUUUUCUGGAAUGCGUUGCAGGCAUCAAAUUUGUAAUUACCAUAUAUUUACAAAAAUCAACAGUUGAUAAGAUAAAAUAUUAAAUCUCUUCUUUGUGCUAUUUUUAAUUCAAUACAUGUAAGUCACUGUUUUCUGUUUUUGUUUGCAUUUUGCCUUCUAACCCAACAUAAACAUACAGAAUAAGUGGGGCUCAAGGGAAAAAAAAACAAACAAAGCAAGU